rnacentral:rRNA from 1 species
GAUCAUGGCUCAGGAUGAACGCUAGCGACAGGCUUAACACAUGCAAGUCGAGGGGCAGCACGGUGUAGCAAUACACUGGUGGCGACCGGCGCACGGGUGAGUAACACGUGUGCAACCAACCCCGUACCGGGAGAUAACCCGGCGUAAAACGUGGACUAAACAUCCCAUGAUACUCGAGAGCCGCAUGGCUCUCGAUUUAAAAUUCCGGUAGGUACGGGACGGGGCACGCGCGACAUUAGGUAGUUGGCGGGG